rnacentral:rRNA from 1 species
GGAAAGAUUUAUCGGUCAAGGAUGAGCCCGCGUUGGAUUAGCUAGUUGGUGGGGUAAAGGCCUACCAAGGCGACGAUCCAUAGCUGCUGAGAGGAUGAUCAGCCACAUUGGGACUGAGACACGGCCCAAACUCCUACAGGCAGCAGUGAAUAUUGGACAAUGGGCGCAAGCCUGAUCCAGCCAUGCCGCGUGAGUGAUGAAGGCCCUAGGGUUGUAAAGCUCUUUCACCGGAGAAGAUAAUGACGGUAUCCGGAGAAGAAGCCCCGGCUAACUUCGUGCCAGCAGCCGCGGUAAUACGAAGGGGGCUAGCGUUGUUCGGAAUUACUGGGCGUAAAGCGCACGUAGGCGGAUCGAUCAGUCAGGGGUGAAAUCCCAGGGCUCAACCCUGGAACUGCCUUUGAUACUGUCGAUCUGGAGUAUGGAAGAGGUGAGUGGAAUUCCGAGUGUAGAGGUGAAAUUCGUAGAUAUUCGGAGGAACACCAGUGGCGAAGGCG